rnacentral:rRNA from 1 species
UCAAGUGACUAAGUGCAUGAGGUGGAUGCCUUGGCGAUUACAGGCGAUGAAAGACGCGAUAGCCUGCGAAAAGCUCCGGGGAGCUGGCAAAUGAGCAUUGAUCCGGAGGUGUCUGAAUGGGGAGACCCACCCGCAAGGGUACCUAGAGCUGAAUACAUAGGCUCGAAGGAGCGAACGUGGUGAACUGAAACAUCUUAGUAGCCACAGGAAAAGAAAUCAACCGAGAUUCCGGCAGUAGUGGCGAGCGAAACCGGAACAGCCUGCAAGAUAUAGCAGUCGACAUAGCAAAGCGGUUUGGAAAAGCCGGCCAUAGUGGGUGAUAGCCCCGUAUGCGAAAUGUGGAUUGUAGAACUAAGCUUGCGACAAGUAGGGCGGGACACGUGAAAUCCUGUCUGAAGAUGGGGGGACCAUCCUCCAAGGCUAAAUACUCGUAAUCGACCGAUAGUGAACCAGUACCGUGAGGGAAAGGCGAAAAGAACCCCGGGAGGGGAGUGAAAUAGAUCCUGAAACCACAUGCAUACAAACAGUCGGAGCCUCGUAAGGGGUGACGGCGUACCUUUUGUAUAAUGGGUCAGCGACUUACGUUGUGUGGCAAGCUUAACCGAAUAGGGAAGGCGUAGCGAAAGCGAGUCUGAUAAGGGCGAUUAGUCGCAUGGCGUAGACCCGAAACCGGAUGAUCUAUCCAUGGCCAGGAUGAAGGUGCGGUAACACGCACUGGAGGUCCGAACCCACUAACGUUGAAAAGUUAGGGGAUGAGCUGUGGAUAGGGGUGAAAGGCUAAACAAAUCCGGAAAUAGCUGGUUCUCUCCGAAAACUAUUUAGGUAGUGCCUCACGUAUCACCAUCGGGGGUAGAGCGCUGUUUUGGCUAGGGGGCCGUUUAGGUCUACCAAACCAAGGCAAACUCCGAAUACCGAUGAGUGCGAGCGUGGGAGACAGACACCGGGUGCUAACGUCCGGUGUCAAGAGGGAAACAACCCAGACCGCCAGCUAAGGUCCCCAAUGAUUGGCUAAGUGGAAAACGAAGUGGGAAGGCUAAAACAGUCAGGAUGUUGGCUUAGAAGCAGCCAUCAUUUAAAGAAAGCGUAAUAGCUCACUGAUCGAGUCGUCCUGCGCGGAAGAUGUAACGGGGCUAAGCCAAUAACCGAAGCUGCGGAUAUCCGUAAGGAUAUGGUAGGAGAGCGUUCCGUAAGUCUGUGAAGGUGUGUCGAGAGGCAUGCUGGAGAUAUCGGAAGUGCGAAUGCUGACAUGAGUAGCGAUAAAGGGUGUGAAAAGCACCCUCGCCGAAAGCCCGAGGUUUCCUGCGCAACGUUCAUCGGCGCAGGGUGAGUCGGCCCCUAAGGUAAGGGCGAAAGCCGUAGCUGAUGGGAAACUGGUUAAUAUUCCAGUACCGUUGUUCAAUGCGAUGUGGGGACGGAGAAGGUUAUGCAAGCCGGGUGUUGGACGUCCCGGUUCAAGCGUGUAGUCGUGCUGCCUAGGCAAAUCCGGGCGGCUUAGAUGAGGCGUGAUAACGAGUCUUUUAGGAGAUGAAGUUGCAGAUACCAAGCUUCCAGGAAAAGCCACUAAGCUUCAGUUGAACAAGACCGUACCGCAAACCGACACAGGUGGGCAGGAUGAAAAUUCUAAGGCGCUUGAGAGAACUCAGGAGAAGGAACUCGGCAAAUUAACACCGUAACUUCGGAAGAAGGUGUGCCUCGAUAAGGUGUAGUCCCUUGCGGACGAAGCCAUAAGAGGUUGCAGAGAAUCGGUGGCUGCGACUGUUUAACAAAAACACAGCACUCUGCUAAGACGAUGAGUCGACGUAUAGGGUGUGACGCCUGCCCGGUGCCGGAAGGUUAAAUGAUGGGGUGCAAGCUCUUGAUUGAAGCCCCGGUAAACGGCGGCCGUAACUAUAACGGUCCUAAGGUAGCGAAAUUCCUUGUCGGGU